GGGCCUAUAGCUCAGCUGGCUAGAGCGCGUCAUUUGCAAUGACGAGGCCGCCGGUCCGAGUCCGGCUAGGUCCA
rnacentral:tRNA from 1 species